rnacentral:rRNA from 1 species
AACAGGAUUAGAUACCCUGGUAGUCCAUGCCGUAAACGAUGUCUACUAGCCGUUGGGGCCUUUGAGGCUUUAGUGGCGCAGCUAACGCGAUAAGUAGACCGCCUGGGGAGUACGGUCGCAAGACUAAAACUCAAAUGAAUUGACGGGGGCCCGCACAAGCGGUGGAGCAUGUGGUUUAAUUCGAUGCAACGCGAAGAACCUUACCUGGCCUUGACAUACUAGAAACUUUCCAGAGAUGGAUUGGUGCCUUCGGGAAUCUAGAUACAGGUGCUGCAUGGCUGUCGUCAGCUCGUGUCGUGAGAUGUUGGGUUAAGUCCCGCAACGAGCGCAACCCUUUUCCUUACUUGCCAGCAUUUCGGAUGGGAACUUUAAGGAUACUGCCAGUGACAAACUGGAGGAAGGCGGGGACGACGUCAAGUCAUCAUGGCCCUUACGGCCAGGGCUACACACGUGCUACAAUGGCCGGUACAAAGGGUUGCUACCUAGCGAUAGGAUGCUAAUCUCAAAAAGCCGAUCGUAGUCCGGAUUGGAGUCUGCAACUCGACUCCAUGAAGUCGGAAUCGCUAGUAAUCGUGAAUCAGAAUGUCACGGUGAAUACGUUCCCGGGCCUUGUACACACCGCCCGUCACACCAUGGGAGUGGGUUGCUCCAGAAGUAGCUAGUCUAACCUUCGGGGGGACGGUUACCACGGAGUGAUUCAUGACUGGGGUGAAGUCGUAACAAGGUAACC